UACGGAGGGAACGAGUGUUACUUGUAGUGACUGGGUGUAAAACGUGCGUAGAUGGUUAACUAAGUUUUUUAUAAAAACUAUUAUAAAGUUUGUAAUAUAAUAUAAGAAAUACUAGUUUAACUUGAGUAUAAAAAAUGAUAAUAGCACUUCAAGUGUAAAAGUGAAAUGUUUAAAUAUUUGAAGAACUAACAAUUGGUGAAAACAGUUAUCAAGUUUAUAACUGACAUUGAAGCACUAAAGCUGGGGGAGCAAACAGG
rnacentral:rRNA from 1 species